UUUGUACUACUUAUUUGGAUUUAUUUAUUUUAGAUUGUUCCCUUGAAGUUUUGUUUGCGUUGAUGGAUUUAUUUGGUCUCGAUUGUUGGUGAACUUUAAGCUUGGUUAUCGUAGGAAAAUGCUUAAUUAAUGAACACAUAUGUUUUGUAGCACUGGAUAGGUGUAACUAAUGCUAUAUAAGGGGUUAGCUUAUGCUAUAUCUUUUAUUCGUGUCUUGGUUCUAUUUUAAGUUGUUUCUAUUGAUUAUUAAAUAACAAUGUGUAUCAAAUGAGGCAUAUCGACUUGAAUUAGUUUGCAUAAUUUAAAGAGGCUAGUGUGUUAAAUUCUCUGGACAACUUAUGUCAUUUUGUGAACGAUUGACUUAUUCUGUUUGACACUUCCAAAGCACCUUACUCAAGUUGCACGGGUUGAAGGGUGAGAGGCUUGGAGUUCACCAAUCUAAUGUAGAACGUAUUCUCUGUGACAUGGUUCAGGUAAAGGCACAUGGUGCUAAUGUAGUGGAAGUUGCCUAUCCUUAUUGUUUAUCAUGGCCAAAUUGUGAAGGUGGUUUAUAUGACGAUGAUGUGCACGUACACGCGGUUACAAGCAUUAAAGCUUGCUUUGGAAUUGGGGGCUGUUUUUUUUUUAUGGAAUUGGAUCUCAAGGUAUACCAACAGUAAUUCAAGUGUGAAAUUAGAUGAUCUAUAUAGUUGAUUUUUGUUGUCUAAGAGCUUAUAAGCAUCUUGUUUGUUUUGCUACACUUUUUAAUGUAAUAGUUUUAUGUUUAGUGUGUUAACUCAAAGCAAUUUUGAUGUAAACUUGUAUCAUUUUCUACAUGAAUUGUGAGAAUCAAUUACUUGAUAUGUUCAGUAAAAUAAUGUGUCUGCGA